rnacentral:rRNA from 1 species
AGAGUUUGAUCAGUGGCUCAAGAACGAACGCUGGCGGCAUGCCUAACACAUGCAAGUCGAACGAACCUUCGGGGUUAGUGGCGCACGGGUGCGUAACACGUGGGAAUCUGCCCUUUGCUUCGGAAUAACAGUUAGAAAUGACUGCUAAUACCGGAUGAUGUCGUAAGACCAAAGAUUUAUCGGCAAAGGAUGAGCCCGCGUAGGAUUAGGUAGUUGGUGGGGUAAAGGCCUACCAAGCCGACGAUCCUUAGCUGGUCUGAGAGGAUGAUCAGCCACACUGGGACUGAGACACGGCCCAGACUCCUACGGGAGGCAGCAGUGGGGAAUAUUGGACAAUGGGCGAAAGCCUGAUCCAGCAAUGCCGCGUGAGUGAUGAAGGCCUUCGGGUUGUAAAGCUCUUUUACCAGGGAUGAUAAUGACAGUACCUGGAGAAUAAGCUCCGGCUAACUCCGUG